ensembl:snoRNA
GGACGCGGGUUCGUGCCCCGGUCCGGGAAGAUCCCACGUGCCGCGGACAAAGAAAAAAGGAGUUCUCAGGUCUGCCAAUCUUACAGUAGAGAUUGAGUAGUAGUAUAUUUCUCCUACAUUA